rnacentral:rRNA from 1 species
AGAGUUUGAUCAUGGCUCAGGACGAACGCUGGCGGCGUGCUUAACACAUGCAAGUCGAGGGCACUUCGGGGCAACUCGAGGUGACCGGCGAACGGGUGCGUAACACGUGAGCGACCUGCCCUGGUGUGGGGGAUAGCCGGCCCAACGGCCGGGUAACACCGCAUACGCUUCUCGGGUUUCAUGGCCUGGGAAGGAAAGUCUUCGGAUGCACCAGGAGGGGCUCGCGGCCUAUCAGCUAGUUGGUGAGGUAACGGCUCACCAAGGCGAUGACGGGUAGCUGGUCUGAGAGGAUGGCCAGCCACAUUGGGACUGAGAAACGGCCCAGACUCCUACGGGAGGCAGCAGUGGGGAAUCUUGCGCAAUGGUCGAGAGACUGACGCAGCGACGCCGCGUGCGGGAGGACGCCCUUCGGGGUGUAAACCGCUGUUACCCGGGACGAAACACGGAUUCAUUCCGUUUGACGGUACCGGGGGAGGAAGCACCGGCUAACUCUGUGCCAGCAGCCGCGGUA